rnacentral:rRNA from 1 species
UUAAGCGACUAAGCGUACACGGUGGAUGCCCUGGCAGUCAGAGGCGAUGAAGGACGUGCUAAUCUGCGAAAAGCGUCGGUAAGGUGAUAUGAACCGUUAUAACCGGCGAUGUCCGAAUGGGGAAACCCAGUGCAAUUCGUUGCACUAUCGUUAACUGAAUACAUAGGUUAACGAGGCGAACCGGGGGAACUGAAACAUCUAAGUACCCCGAGGAAAAGAAAUCAACCGAGAUUCCCCCAGUAGCGGCGAGCGAACGGGGAGCAGCCCAGAGUCUGAAUCAGCUUGUGUGUUAGUGGAACGGUCUGGAAAGUCCGACGGUACAGGGUGAUAGUCCCGUACACCAAAAUGCACAGGCUGUGAACUCGAAGAGUAGGGCGGGACACGUGGUAUCCUGUCUGAAUAUGGGGGGACCAUCCUCCAAGGCUAAAUACUCCUGACUGACCGAUAGUGAACCAGUACCGUGAGGGAAAGGCGAAAAGAACCCCGGCGAGGGGAGUGAAAAAGAACCUGAAACCGUGUACGUACAAGCAGUGGGAGCACCUUCGGGUGUGACUGCGUACCUUUUGUAUAAUGGGUCAGCGACUUAUAUUCUGUAGCAAGGUUAACCGUAUAGGGGAGCCGCAGGGAAACCGAGUCUUAACUGGGCGUUAAGUUGCAGGGUAUAGACCCGAAACCCGGUGAUCUAGCCAUGGGCAGGUUGAAGGUUGGGUAACACUAACUGGAGGACCGAACCGACUAAUGUUGAAAAAUUAGCGGAUGACUUGUGGCUGGGGGUGAAAGGCCAAUCAAACCGGGAGAUAGCUGGUUCUCCCCGAAAGCUAUUUAGGUAGCGCCUCGUGAACUCAUCUUCGGGGGUAGAGCACUGUUUCGGCUAGGGGGUCAUCCCGACUUACCAACCCGAUGCAAACUACGAAUACCGAAGAAUGUUAUCACGGGAGACACACGGCGGGUGCUAACGUCCGUCGUGAAGAGGGAAACAACCCAGACCGCCAGCUAAGGUCCCAAAGUCAUGGUUAAGUGGGAAACGAUGUGGGAAGGCACAGACAGCCAGGAUGUUGGCUUAGAAGCAGCCAUCAUUUAAAGAAAGCGUAAUAGCUCACUGGUCGAGUCGGCCUGCGCGGAAGAUGUAACGGGGCUAAACCAUGCACCGAAGCUGCGGCAGCGACACUAUGUGUUGUUGGGUAGGGGAGCGUUCUGUAAGCCUGCGAAGGUGUGCUGUGAGGCAUGCUGGAGGUAUCAGAAGUGCGAAUGCUGACAUAAGUAACGAUAAAGCGGGUGAAAAGCCCGCUCGCCGGAAGACCAAGGGUUCCUGUCCAACGUUAAUCGGGGCAGGGUGAGUCGACCCCUAAGGCGAGGCCGAAAGGCGUAGUCGAUGGGAAACAGGUUAAUAUUCCUGUACUUGGUGUUACUGCGAAGGGGGGACGGAGAAGGCUAUGUUAGCCGGGCGACGGUUGUCCCGGUUUAAGCAUGUAGGCUGGUUAUCCAGGCAAAUCCGGAUAAUCAAGGCUGAGGUGUGAUGACGAGGCACUACGGUGCUGAAGUAACAAAUGCCCUGCUUCCAGGAAAAGCCUCUAAGCAUCAGGUAACAUCAAAUCGUACCCCAAACCGACACAGGUGGUCAGGUAGAGAAUACCAAGGCGCUUGAGAGAACUCGGGUGAAGGAACUAGGCAAAAUGGUGCCGUAACUUCGGGAGAAGGCACGCUGGUGUGUAGGUGAAGUCCCUGCGGAUGGAGCUGAGACCAGUCGAAGAUACCAGCUGGCUGCAACUGUUUAUUAAAAACACAGCACUGUGCAAACACGAAAGUGGACGUAUACGGUGUGACGCCUGCCCGGUGCCGGAAGGUUAAUUGAUGGGGUUAUCCGUAAGGAGAAGCUCUUGAUCGAAGCCCCGGUAAACGGCGGCCGUAACUAUAACGGUCCUAAGGUAGCGAAAUUCCUUGUCGGGUAAGUUCCGACCUGCACGAAUGGCGUAAUGAUGGCCAGGCUGUCUCCACCCGAGACUCAGUGAAAUUGAACUCGCUGUGAAGAUGCAGUGUACCCGCGGCAAGACGGAAAGACCCCGUGAACCUUUACUAUAGCUUGACACUGAACAUUGAGCCUUGAUGUGUAGGAUAGGUGGGAGGCUUUGAAGCGUGGACGCCAGUCUGCGUGGAGCCAACCUUGAAAUACCACCCUUUAAUGUUUGAUGUUCUAACGUUGGCCCCUGACCGGGGUUGCGGACAGUGUCUGGUGGGUAGUUUGACUGGGGCGGUCUCCUCCCAAAGCGUAACGGAGGAGCACGAAGGUUAGCUAAUCCUGGUCGGACAUCAGGAGGUUAGUGCAAUGGCAUAAGCUAGCUUGACUGCGAGCGUGACGGCGCGAGCAGGUGCGAAAGCAGGUCAUAGUGAUCCGGUGGUUCUGAAUGGAAGGGCCAUCGCUCAACGGAUAAAAGGUACUCCGGGGAUAACAGGCUGAUACCGCCCAAGAGUUCAUAUCGACGGCGGUGUUUGGCACCUCGAUGUCGGCUCAUCACAUCCUGGGGCUGAAGUAGGUCCCAAGGGUAUGGCUGUUCGCCAUUUAAAGUGGUACGCGAGCUGGGUUUAGAACGUCGUGAGACAGUUCGGUCCCUAUCUGCCGUGGGCGCUGGAGAAUUGAGGGGGGCUGCUCCUAGUACGAGAGGACCGGAGUGGACGCAUCACUGGUGUUCGGGUUGUCAUGCCAAUGGCACUGCCCGGUAGCUAAAUGCGGAAGAGAUAAGUGCUGAAAGCAUCUAAGCACGAAACUUGCCCCGAGAUGAGUUCUCCCUGAGACU